ACAUACUAUGAGCAAGGAGCCCUUGUAGGCAUUUUGUCAAUAUAAACUUGGUCAAAAUCAUAAUAAUCCUCUGAGGUGGGUACUAUGAUUAUUAUUUUACAGGUGAAGAAAGAGAGGAAGAGGGGUUAAAUGACUUGGAUCACUGUAGCUGGUAACGAGGGCAGAAUGCAAUGCUCUGGUUGACUAGACAUAAGGUAUGUAUUUCAUCUGUGGUUGCUGGGAGUCAGUGACAUCACCCUGAAUCUUAGGGAGUUUUUCCCGUGAAAUAGAUUACAUUACCAAAUGAAUAGGAAAGGAUGCUGGGCGGAAAGAAACGGCCAAAUGUGAAUGAAGCCUUCUUUCAUUAGAUUUCAGCAGAUGUCCAAACCAGAGGCAGCAAUAAUUUAUUAAUGAAAACUUCAAUGGUUUUGCUUUUGAUUUUUGAAAAUUUUCUUGUAUUUUUAUAAAAUGUUUGAUAAUGUCAAGACAAAAUAUUACCACAGAUCUAGAAUUUUACUGGUAUGUCCAUAAGAUAUAUUCAGGAAAAAAAAAAAAUUAAAGGCACACUUCAAAAUAAAUGAAAAUCAUGAUCAAUAUGCAGUAAUGAUUUUACAAAGUCCAUAUUCCCAACAAAGAUUAUUCUUUAGUAAUUUGAACUCUUCCCUGUGAUAUAUGUGAUCACCUGUAUUAAAGAAAAAAGACUCUAAAAUAAGAGGGAAGGACUACAGGAAGGAAGAGAAAUUAAUUUCCAGUUGUAACCAGAAAAAGUAGAAGUCCUACAGAAAGGUACUUUGUGUGGUAUUCGUCUCAAAUUCCUUUAGAUAUACCCAUCAAUUGGAAAGAGAGCAUCCACUGGAGCCAAAUGACAUCUCCAGUUCCACAGAAAUAAAUAGUAGAGGAACAAGUUUUAAAUUGCUGUAAGAGCAAUUUAGCUUAGAUCACAAAGAAAUCACUGAAAAAAAAAAAAAAAAAAAAGAAUCCUUUACACUGAAAAGGAAAAACUUUUGGAAGAAAGAAAACUUUAGUGUACAUACAUUUCUCAUUAGCAAAACAAGAUCCCUUUUCUGAUUCACUAGAUAAUUUGUUCUGAUUUAAGUUGAGCCUUAUGAGUUCUUUCAACUGUUUCAGUAUUAACUAGGAUACUGAGAUAUGUUAAACUAAAAUUUACUUUCUGGCUAACCCAGAUAUUAUUACUUAAUCUUUUAUGAGAUAAUGCAUCAUUUCUCUUUAUAACUCCAAAUUUUUUUCCUAAAGCAAUUUUGAAAUAUGUAACUGUAAUUGCCUUCUGCUUAAAUACAGAAUUUUUUAAAGACUCAGUACACUUUUUUAAAUAAAUGUACUUUCUACACAUAAUUCACACAUAAUUCAAAAAUGGAAAAAAAUAUUUUACUCAGAUUUGAAAAAAAAAAACACUAAGAUGAAACUUAAAAAUGUCAAGCAAGUAUUAUUUUCAUUUCCCAUGGGCUUUUCUUUCAAAAAUAAAAAAAUAGCAAUAUUGCUUAAGUAUUGUCAACUCCUGACCCUCAGGACAUGAGGAGAGUCCAAAGAAGACAAAUACCAUGGAAAGUUAAAUAGUGAUAGAGAUCAAAGAUCAAAAGGCAAAGAAGGCAUUCCCAUCGUUGCUCAGUGGUUAAUGAACCCAACUAGCAUCGGUGAAGAGGUAGGUUGAUCCCUGGCCUCGCUCAGUUGGUUAAGGAUUCUGUGUUGCUCUGAGCUAUGUUGUAGGUGACAGAUUGAGCUCAGAUCCUGCAUUGCUGUGGCCCUGGCACAGGCUGGCAUCUAUAGCCCCAAUUGGACCCCUAGCCUGAGAACCUCCAUAUGCAUCCAGUGCAGCCCUAAAAAGACAAAAACAGGCAAAGAAUAUUCCCACUUUAUUAAUGAAUUCUAUUCUGAGUAUCUAUUCUUAUAACUGGUGUCUGUCACUAUUUAUCAUCUAGAAAUGUACAAAGAAACCAAGUAAAGAAUGAAGAAACAGAAAACAGUUAUUGAUGACAUAGUGGUUACAAAACCAACAAACUGAGAUUCAAGUAUGAAGAGAGCUAUGUUUAAAGAGAAUUAUUCAGCAAUUAUUUUCAGAAUGUGGGGAAUUAGGAAGGAACUGGACAAUCAAAGCACCUUGGAAAGGAAGGGGAACUCACAUUUACUGACAAAGUCCCAACAUGGCAAGUAAUGUGCUUCGUGGUUUCAUUUUAGGACAUAAUUUUCCUCCACAGUGGUAAUUCAUGGGGGGGGGGGGUCAUGAAAUAUUCAAAAGUAAGCAAAGAACAUCACCAGCUUGAGGUGACUCUACAAGAAAUCUAGAGCAGUUAGGUAUUAAGGAGAAAAGAUAAAAUUUAAACUAGUUACAAAAUGGCUGAAGGAGGAAAGACUGAAUUAAAAAACAGUGUAUGAAUAACAACAAAACUUGUAUUUAAGGUGUCUUCUGGAAAACAAUGCACCAGAAAUCCAUUCAUCUAUUCCAUUGGUCCAAGCCAGAAACCAAUGGUGACAACCAAAGAGAUGCAAGAACACUAAUAACAGGGAAUGAUGCCGGAAGGCACAGGAAGGCAUGCAAAAUAUAAUCCCAACUGAAUAAAAGAAACUAUGGGCUGAGGCACAACUCUUUGAAACACAAACUCAUGCUGCAAGAAGAAAACAGUUUUGUCAAAUUGCUUUAAUUUGAAGCAGUAAAGGCUGGAGGAAAUGUGCUGGUAAAGACACAAGGUAUACUACAGUUCCCCUCCUCACAGAAUUCUAAGGCCAUGAAGGAGGAUCUUCAGUGAAGGCCUUCAACCACAUCCCCAGAGAGAUGAGGGAUGUGGCUUGCCCUCAGCUGAGCUGAAACAUGAAGUAGAAGGAUUACACAGAGCCAAACUCUGGAGUCAAAUUCUGGAAUUGAGGACAGACUGAAGAGAAAACAAAGUAAGAAACAUGGGCCCUCAGUUUAGUCAUGUCAACAGAUAUUAAGAGUAAACUUUAUAGAAACAAAAGUCACCACAAACGUUGAUAUUCCCAUACUUCCUCAGGCUAGUUAAUAAAAAUACAACAUUUAUCUAUAAAACAUACCAAUUAAUUAAGGGCAUGAUUAUGAGAUCUUGGUCAAGAAAAAGGAGAACCAAGGAGAACCUACCUCACGUCUACUAUUCUGGAAAAAAAUGGCAGAUCGAGAAAUUCCCCCAUAGAACAUCAGCCCUAAAAAACUAAUGAAGAAAACCUGCAACAUGAACAUGAAACUACGAGUGCCCACUGUAGCACAGCACGUAAAGGAUCCAGUGUUGUCUCCACUGUGGUUCAGGUCAUUGCUGAGGCACAGCUUCCAUCCCCACCCAGGAACUUCCACAUGCCAC
rnacentral:lncRNA from 1 species